UUCCUGAUAUUAGAUAGAGCUUCUCUAUCUAUAAUUUUUUUUCUAAGCUUGUUAUCCCUUUAUUCCGCUCUUUCCGAUGUUCUAUAUUAGGGCUUCCCUAAUAGAAUUGAUCGUUAAGUUAAUAUCUCCUUUCUAUUUAUCAGGACGAAUAGGGCUUCCCUAUUCGAACUAAAUAAGUAUGAAGUAUGUUAAUGCUAGAUAGAGCUUCUCUAUCUAUUUUAGGCCCCCUGUUAAUUAUUUUUAUUUGUUCUAUACUUAGUUAUGCUAGCUAUCUCUGUAUGGUCUUUUAUGUUGUUAAUUCCUAGAAAAAACAGGGCUUCCCUAUUUUUCUAAUAUUUUUAUUCAAUUUCUAAUUAACUUUUUAUUCUAUGAUAUAAUAGGGCUUCCCUAUUCUUUUUAUUAGCUGAGUGAUGUUGUUGAUUUUCCUCUUUGUUUUAUAAUUAAGGCUUCCUUAAUUAAGCUGCGCAGAUUAAUUAUUUCUCGAUCUAGUAUGUUAAACAAGGCUUCCUUAUUUAACUAUUCUUCUUGUUUUUAUUGGCUUUUGUACUGGUUAUUUAAUUAACAUCCUUGCUCUGACAGUUCAAGUGCUAAAUCUAUGAAUUUCAGCAUCCACAAUUUAUUUACAGCUCUUAUGGGAUGUACUCCGUCCGAUGUUAGGUUGAAAUUCUUUCUAUAUUUAACUUUGGUGUCUCUUUUUGUCUUGUUUGAAAGGAUAAAAUCUUGAGAAAUUCUUGGUGUAGAGUAAAGGCGGUUAAUCAAUUUUAGGUGAUCGUUAAAGUAGUCAAUCUGUUCACUGAGUUUUUUGUCUAUGUUUGUUGCCAGUUGGACUUUUCUGUGACCUUUGGUGGCUUUAUUGACCAGGAGUGACGGAUAUAUCUUUUUUUUACUAUUCACAUUAAGUUAAUUGAAUCUUUAGGUUUAUUGGCUCUUGUGAUCGAAUAGUAUGGACACUCUAUAAAAAGCACUGUGGCUGAUGGUUUUGUUGUUAUGAUUUGUUGUUUGAGAUCCCUAUAUUGUGUUAAAGUUUCUUCUAUAUUUUGAUACGGUGAUUUUCUAAACUGGAUGGUUUUGUUUUUCUUCUGUGUAAUUUCACAUGUACCUAGCCAGAUCAGUAUUAUUGGG
rnacentral:lncRNA from 1 species